AUUGAACGCUGGCGGAAUGCUUUACACAUGCAAGUCGAGCGGCAGCACGGGGGCAACCCUGGUGGCGAGCGGCGAACGGGUGAGUAAUACAUCGGAACAUGCCCAGUCGUGGGGGAUAACACUUCGAAAGAAGUGCUAAUACCGCAUACGUCCUGAGGGAGAAAGCGGGGGAUCUUCGGACCUCGCGCGAUUGGAGUGGCCGAUGUCAGAUUAGCUAGUUGGUGGGGUAAAGGCCUACCAAGGUAACGAUCUGUAGCUGGUCUGAGAGGAUGAGCAGCCACACUGGGACUGAGACACGGCCCAGACUCCUACGGGAGGCAGCAGUGGGGAAUUUUGGACAAUGGGGGCGACCCUGAUCCAGCCAUUCCGCGUGAGUGAAGAAGGCCUUCGGGUUGUAAAGCUCUUUCGGCAGGAACGAAACGGCGAGCUCUAACAUAGCUUGCUAAUGACGGUACCUGAAGAAGAAGCACCGGCUAACUACGUGCCAGCAGCCGCCGUAAAAC
rnacentral:rRNA from 1 species